rnacentral:rRNA from 1 species
UACAGAGGUCUCGAGCGUUAGUCGGAUUCAUUGGGCUUAAAGCGUGCGUAGGCGGAUGUGCAGGCGUCGUGUGAAAGCCCUCGGCUCAACCGGGGAAUUGCACGGCGAACCGCAUGUCUUGAGACAAGUAGGGGCGGUCGGAACGAUAGGUGGAGUGGUGAAAUGCGUUGACAUCUAUCGGAACGCCAAAGGUGAAGACAGACCGCUGGGCUUGUUCUGACGCUGAGGCACGAAAGCGUGGGGAGCAAACGGGG